rnacentral:rRNA from 1 species
GGUGGCGGUUAUGCUGGGGUUGUUCCACCUGUUCCCAUUCCGAACACAGAAGUGAAAUACCUCAAGGCCGAUGAUAGUGAGUUUUCUUGCGAAAGUAGGUAGCCGCCGCCA